rnacentral:rRNA from 1 species
KCUAAGGUAGCGUAAUAAUUUGGCCCUUAAAUGGGGUCCUGUAUGAACGGGGUCAUGUGUUUCACCUGUCUCCUUAGGUUUGCCUUGAAAUUAUAUUAAAGGUGUAAAUACCUUUUUAAAGAAGUAAGACGAGAAGACCCUUAGAGUUUUGAUUAAAGGAAUGUCUUUCUUCUUUUUUUUUGUUGGGGCGACAGGGGACUCUUAACCUUCCCUUUUAAAAUCAAAAACCAGAAGGAGCAAGCAGCCUGAUAGAAUAAACUACCUAAGGGAUAACAGCAUAAUUUCUUAAGAAG